AGACCGGUAAGCGUGCUCGUUCUUGUACGGUAGAAUAAAGAACGCGAACAUGCACCGACAUGUGUGUAAACUACUGGAAGGUGACUGAAGAUGAAGCACCUAUUACCGUGCUAGUACUGUGUAUACUGUCAAAAAGAAGAAAAAAAUAUUUCGGAAAGAAAGAAUGCCCAGUGUCGAGAUGCAACGAUUCAAGCUUUAUUUCUUUUUGACCUAGAAUGCAAUACCAUUAGUUCCACGUGCUUUAUGCAUGGGUAAUGUUAUGACACAACUCAUUAUUUACCCGUUCAUUACAUGCACCAACCAGCCCAAAUUAUCCCUGUACUAGAGCUUAUGGACGCAUCGCAGUGCACUGCUUUGCACUUCAUUAUAGCACAGGGGUUUGCUAUCGCCAGUAGCGAAUGCUUUGGUUGACCUCCCUGCCUUUCUGCCUUUUGAAUUCUCUCUCCCUUUGUAUAAAACGCACUAACUUGUGGGAGAGAAAGCGUUCUCCUCUUUUAGAAUUCAAUUAAUUGUCAAGCAAUUAUAUUGCAGUUCCAGUAACAAGAGCAGAAAUGCGAAAACGAAACCGAUUCUGUUCGGUUCUCCGCGCUCAGAGUGCGACACCAGGGGGCAGCGCGCGCUGCGCGUCCGUUAGGAGUGGCAGACGGAGAUGCACAUGUGUAGUCAGCCGGCAUUUUUCGAGUCGUGUUGUAAAUGUUGUUAAUUCGCCGUAAAUAUCUCUUGAUUUGUACUCAAGGGUGGAGCAAGAGCCCAAGGAAGAGAGAUUGACGCAUCGGGAGCGAAGAACAGAAACGAUGGAUGGUUACGCUGCUUGGGUCUCGGCACGUUCGAAUUGGCAAAGUUCCGAAUUUGUUGCUGUGUUGUGUACGCUUGUGCGCUCGUUAUUUGCGGUCAUCGCGCGGAGAUAUUUGCGCUGGAUGUCUUUCACUUCGUGUACAAAACUCUGCUCGCUGCGGCAUCGAAGAAGUUGUCCUGUGUUUGGGUGCACGUAUGCGCUUGGACACGGCUAGUCUGCUUGCUCUCAACGGGUGUUCAACAGUCUACGCGCGCUCGUAACUUGCUCAUGAGGCAAGUUGCUGUUGUGCUGGAGCUGAGAAGAGGUCUGCUGCCUGCAAUGGGUCCAUCUCUCUCAAGUUAUUGCAGUAUUAUAGCUCUCAAGGUUCAAAAAAGUAUGGUGGAAGCUGUUGCCAAGGUUCCGACCAGAAAAGACAGCCAGUAUAAAAGGGUCCACGCCACUGAUUUCUACUACAGGGGAUGAACAGCACAUCGAGCGCCCUCGACUGAAGCCGGCCUUGUCCCGGAAGUUGGUGCUUCACAACUUUGCGGCAGCACUUUGUUGCACGGCCUGUGGAGACAAGGUUUCUUAGACAUGGCCGUGGCCCUCAAGGAAGAUGCCGAGGCCACAGGCAGUUCCUCCAGUGACCGUGAAAAGGUCCCCUGGGGCACAAGUCUGGUUUGGCACCCCCACCUUUCUCCUGCAGCUUUUCUGUCUACUUAGCUAACCAGCAAGUUUAUCCUUGCAAGCGUUUGGAGUCAAGAACAACUUUCACCAGGAAGAAGUGCAAGACGAGUGAUUGAAGAAAAUAAAGUUGCUUCUGU